UCUAAUGGAACGAAAAUUACCUGAUACUUUGGUCAGUUUCAUUUUUAUUUUCCUUUGGUUCUCUAGAGGUUGUGCAAAACAUAACUCAGACUAACCCCAAUGCAAGGUUUCAACCCAUAACGUUGGCAAUUCCUCUCCCCUCAACAGAUGCUGCUUGACUAGUUGAGUUCCUUCGGCUAUUGUUAGUUGUCUGUCAUCUAACUCUGCUCUCAUCUUUCUGGCAAAGCUAAAUUGGGGAAGGACAUUACGUAUCUUGUCUAAGGAAGGAAACUAUAUAGACAGGUUAAUACAAAUAUAGCUGGGCAAGCAUUAUGGAUUAUCUUCAAUUACCUGACAUUUAGGGCAGUAAUAUAGGUCCUCUAUCUCUGGUGGUGUUCAGGUCUUUCCUCAUCAGCUUCCUCUCAGUUUUCACUAUUGUCAGUCAUACAAGUCCUAGGUAGAGAUUCAGGAAUACCAUCACAGUUAGAUUUAGAAGGAUUCUUCAUUGCUGUUUCUAUAACGAUUUUGUUUUACCAGCGUUGUUAGCCCUGAACUGAACCACAGAUCCUGGAAGACUGCUGAACCACUCUUAGUCUGGCCUCUACCCUUUGACCUGUUUAGCAUGGGUGACCCUACCAAGAACCAAAGCAUAAAGGCCUUACUCCAGCCAACAUCAUUCUCUUGGUCAUUGAGAUGCUGCUUGACCCGUUGAGUUCCUCCAUCAUCUGCAGUCUUAUCUCUCAAGAAGACCUACCCAUCCUAAUUCUAUCCAGAGAUGUUUGAAGAAAAUACAGUGAAUAAUCCAGAUGCCUGAAGGAUCAUUAAUAAGUUACUUAUUCACUGAAUAUCCAUGAAUUGUGAUUGAGUUGGAAAGAGACAAUUCUGGAGCAGAUUGGGAUAUGACAGAACACCAGCCAGUCUGAAAUGAAAGAGAAGAUCAACAAUCAAAUGAACCUUUUGUAACGUUGACAAUCAGAUUGCAAUGUAAUCAUACGUAUUCGUCUCAGACAGAAACAACAAAGCAUCACACUUAAGGGUUGAAAGGAAAGCCACAAUGGCAACUUUAAAAUCAUCACAUUAUCAUGGGCAGGUUGUUAAGUAACAAGAGGAACAUUUCACAGUUAUUUCAA